UACGUAGGGUGCGAGCGUUAAUCGGAAUUACUGGGCGUAAAGUGUGCGCAGGCGGCAGAGCAAGUCGAGUGUGAAAGCCCCGGGCUUAACUUGGGAAUUGCGCUCGAAACUAUGUGGCUAGAGUGUGGCAGAGGAAGGUGGAAUUCCACGUGUAGCGGUGAAAUGCGUAGAGAUGUGGAGGAACACCGAUGGCGAAGGCAGCCUUCUGGGCCAACACUGACACUCAUGCACGAAAGCGUGGGGAGCAAACAGG
rnacentral:rRNA from 1 species